rnacentral:piRNA from 2 species
UUAAUGUUGCCUUAUGCUGUCUGU